rnacentral:lncRNA from 1 species
UGCCACACCACCAGAGAACAAUUCAGCAUUAUCAGUGGUUCUAAGAACAUCUGUAUUGCUUGAACAUUACUAUGUGAGACUUUCUAAGAUACCUGAGAUAUACAAAGUGUGUGGUAAAUAUGGCACACAUCCAUGAUAUUUCCAUGGCCUCUUAGACCAGCAACUGGUUUUCAGACACACUAACCUGGGCAUUUCAUGUUUAGACAGCAGAAUCAAGGUCUGAUUUCAUGAGAUCAGUUUGCAGUGAAUUGUAAAAUGCUUUCUCCCUGAGAUAAAUAGUAUAAUAUCUAUAAGAUGGCAACUCACUUUAAAUUCAGCAUCUAAAGGAUCAGACUGAUGGAGUAGAAACUUGUGUCAUCUACUGAAAACCUUAUUUUUUGCAUAUUGUCAUUUUUAUCUGGCAGAAGUAAUAAAGAAUACAAGAAAAGAAGAGGCAAAGCAGAAGUGAUAAAGGACUCUGAAAGUUCCUUCACUCAGCAAUCUCAGGUUGCUAUGUCCACACCUGCCUCUAACAUUUGCUGCAAAGAGGAUCCAAAUCACUGUAAAUGGAAUACCUUCUUUUAUUACAUGAAUACUGACUAGUAGUUCUUCAUCAUAGAAAUAAUCUCUGCAUUUACAGCCAUACUUUUGGCAGGAGGUUUUACAAAAUGAUGUUUUGAGGAUGUGAUUUUAAUAGGUAAAACAUACACUAAAAGUUGGCAGAGGAGGAUUUUGUUUAGCCAGAAGCAAAAUACUAACUAAUGUUUCAAGCAGACAUGAAGUAGUAUAUUUCUUCCUUCUGCUGACUUGUUCAUGCCAGAAAAUGCUGCGUAGCCAGUCAAAGGAUCUUAAAAAUCUUGUAGUAGGCAUUGAAACAGGAUAGAAAUUUUAACAACUUGACUGGCAAACUUUUUCUUCAUGCAGCAAAAUUACUUCUGAUACUUUCUUGAAAAAUGUGCAAAGCUGUCAUUUGUUUGUCCUUGUUUUAUACUUAUUGUAUAAAUAAGAUUCGAACAUGUGGAGUCAAAAGCAGAAAUGAGUU